UCUGGAGCCCCGCCGUGCUUGAGGGUGUAACCUUUGGGCGAGAGCGAGAGUUUCCAAUGGAGACGGUGGAAGAGGUUUAUGUACGACGGAAGAUCGAUAAUACAGGUUGUAAAUAAGAAAAUAAAUGUGUUGGAAAUCUUUUUGUUACAGUAUUACAAUCUACAUAUAACGAUGUUAUUAGAAAAUCGUCUAAAAUGAUAAUAGUUGAGGUUAUCAAGUUAAUAAGCGAUUGGUGACUAUCUGUUGAUUGUCAAAUUCCUAUCCGUGAGAAGUGGACGGGAAUCUUUAAGCAU